GAUGAACGCUGGCGGCGUGCCUAAUACAUGCCAGUCGAGCGAACAGACGAUGAGCUUGCUCCUCUGACGUUAGCGGCGGACGGGUGAGUAACACGUGGAUAACCUACCUAUAAUACUGGGAUAACUUCGGGCAACCGCAGCUAGUACCGGAUAAUAUAUUGAACCGCAUGGUUCAAUAGUGAAAGACGGUUUUGCUGUCACUUAUAGACGGAUCCGCGCCGCAUUAGCUAGUUGGUAGGGUAACGGCUUACCGAGGCAACGAUGCAUAGCUGACCUGAGAGUGUGAGAGGCCACACUGGAACAGAGAAACGGUCCAGAGUCCUAGGGUAGGACGCAGUAGAGAAUUAAGCGCAAUGGGCGAAAGCCUGACGGAGCAACGCCGCAUGGGUGAUGAAGGUAUUCAGGUCUUAAGACUGUAUUAUUAGGGAAGAACAAAUGUGUAAGUAACUAUGCACGUCUUGACGGUACCUAAACAGAAAGCCACGGCUAACUACGUG
rnacentral:rRNA from 1 species